AGCUGCCUGAUGAAGAGCUGU
rnacentral:miRNA from 1 species